rnacentral:rRNA from 1 species
GACAGAGGUGGCGAGCGUUGUUCGGAAUUACUGGGCUUAAAGGGCGAGUAGGCGGUGGGACAAGUCUGAUGUGGAAUCCUAUGGCUUAACCGUAGAACUGCAUUAGAAACUGUUUUACUUGAGUCAGUGAGGGGAGGGCGGAAUUCCUGGUGUAGCGGUGAAAUGCGUAGAUAUCAGGAGGAAGGCCUGUGGCGAAGGCGGCCCUCUGGCACUGUACUGACGCUGAGGCGCGAAAGCGUGGGGAGCAAACAGG